rnacentral:ncRNA from 1 species
ACUUGUAAAGGGCAAACUCAUCGAAAGAUGGGGACGCAAAACAAACAGACCUAAGGCGAAAGCUAUGGUGGCUGGGUUGCCAAG